rnacentral:rRNA from 1 species
CCUACGGGAGGCAGCAGUGGGGAAUCUUGCGCAAUGGGCGAAAGCCUGACGCAGCCAUGCCGCGUGAAUGAUGAAGGUCUUAGGAUUGUAAAAUUCUUUCACCGGGGACGAUAAUGACGGUACCCGGAGAAGAAGCCCCGGCUAACUUCGUGCCAGCAGCCGCGGUAAUACGAAGGGGGCUAGCGUUGCUCGGAAUUACUGGGCGUAAAGGGAGCGUAGGCGGAUAGUUUAGUCAGAGGUGAAAGCCCAGGGCUCAACCUUGGAAUUGCCUUUGAUACUGGCUAUCUUGAGUAUGGGAGAGGUUAGCGGAACUCCGAGUGUAGAGGUGAAAUUCGUAGAUAUUCGGAAGAACACCAGUGGCGAAGGCGGCUAACUGGCCCAUUACUGACGCUGAGGCUCGAAAGCGUGGGGAGCAAACAGGAUUAGAUACCCUGGUAGUCCCACGACCGUAACGAUAGAGUGCUAGUUGUCGGUCGAUGCAUGCAUGUCGGUGACGCGAGCUACGACAUAAGUACACUCCGCCGUCGGGGAGGUACGGUCGCGAGAAUAAACUACAAUAGAAGUAGUACGGCGUGAGACGUGCCGACGGACGACGACGAGGGAGGAGG